rnacentral:rRNA from 1 species
AUUGAACGCUGGCGGCAGGCUUAACACAUGCAAGUCGAGCGGAGAUGAGGUGCUUGCACCUUAUCUUAGCGGCGGACGGGUGAGUAAUGCUUAGGGAUCUGCCUAUUAGUGGGGGACAACAUUCCGAAAGGAAUGCUAAUACCGCAUACGCCCUACGGGGGAAAGCAGGGGAUCUUCGGACCUUGCGCUAAUAGAUGAGCCUAAGUCGGAUUAGCUAGUUGGUGGGGUUAAGGCCUACCAAGGCGACGAUCUGUAGCGGGUCUGAGAGGAUGAUCCGCCACACUGGGACUGAGACACGGCCCAGACUCCUACGGGAGGCAGCAGUGGGGAAUAUUGGACAAUGGGCGGAAGCCUGAUCCAGCCAUGCCGCGUGUGUGAAGAAGGCCUUUUGGUUGUAAAGCACUUUAAGCGAGGAGGAGGCUACCUGGAUUAAUACUCUAGGAUAGUGGACGUUACUCGCAGAAUAAGCACCGGCUAACUCUGUGCCAGCCGCCGCGGUAAAAC